UACGAAGGGGGCUAGCGUCGUUCGGAAUUACUGGGCGUAAAGCGCACGUAGGCGGAUACUUAAGUUAGGGGUGAAAUCCCAGAGCUCAACUCUGGAACUGCCUUUAAUACUGGGUAUCUCGAGUCCGGAAGAGGUGAGUGGAAUUCCGAGUGUAGAGGUGAAAUUCGUAGAUAUUCGGAGGAACACCAGUGGCGAAGGCGGCUCACUGGUCCGGUACUGACGCUGAGGUGCGAAAGCGUGGGGAGCAAACAGG
rnacentral:rRNA from 1 species